CGGCUGCCAUCACUGUUGGGGGAAUAGAAAAGAAACACUGGACAGACCACCGCAAAGGAGUUUAAGGGCUUCUGGUGCCGCUUUCGAUCUUUGCCAGGUCCUCAGGUAUCACAAAGUCAAAGAGGGAAAGAGACAGAAUACACAAACGAUGGCCAGAUCACAGAUAAAAAUAGAACUUUGACUCGCAACCAACCGGCAACAACUCACCCAGGGAACCACCCCCUUAUCUGCAACAAACAGCCCCGUAAGCCACCUGCUAUGGGUCAGCAAGGGGGUCAGAAGAGACCACCCCCCAAAUAGGGGGAUUAUUUUGAGCUGCUGGCAAUUCAGAAACAGCAGUCACAAACAAACAGAGCUCCGGCUCUUCCCCCAAUCUGCUGAGAAGCAGAGCACAAAAUCCCCUUUGUGAGGGGCUCCCUCCCCUCUCCUGCCCUAGGAAGAGAAGAAUUAGUCACGGAGAUGGGGAGAUGGCGUGGCUUCAGUCUGCAUAAAGCAACCUCGCUGAAAGAACCCUGGCCUUUCAUUGAGUUUCCCCCCCAUGUGUUUACCUUCCCACCGUUCACCGCCCCAAAGCCCACACCCCGUUUCCUCUGUGUAGACACUUCUCCACAGUCGGCUGUGCUUUUCUAAAAACAGUGUAUAAGCUCCCAGGUCUAACCCACAGUGGACCUUCACCUCUCUUCUGCGAAGCCUCUGUGCACAUGUGAAAUAAACAGUGUCUCCUGUUAA